ensembl:lncRNA
GUCAAAGAAUUCCUCAUAUUUCCUAACUGGUGCAUGACAUUGGCACUGGGGCUUUGAGACAAUGUAUGGAGUGACUCACUCUGCACUCCCUCAGUGAAGGGUGAGGAAGUCCACGGGCAGCGGAGCUUUGUGAUAUCAGCAUGAGUGUGGCAAUUUAUUUUUGAGAUCGCAAGCACAUGGUAUUUGGGGUGGGAAACAAGUGCAUCGUGCCAGAUCUGGGAUGUUCCCUCUGGGUGGAGCUGCCUGGUCCUUAUAAAAGGAGUCUCUCCCACCGUGCUGCUAUCUUCGUGAUACUCAGUCAUAGGUCUUCUUUGGAGCCUCUGAUUCCUUGAGACCCAGGAAGGAUGCCUCACCAUCCGCAUCCGCAUCCACACCCACAUCCACAGCAGCAUCAGCAUCAGCAUCACCAUCAGUGCAAGGAGCCCUGCCAUCCACCUCCAAAAGUGUGCCCACCGAAGUGCCAUGAGCCUUGCCCACCCCAUCCAUGCCCACCUCCAGUGAGCCAGCAGAAAUGCCCUCCUGGGCCACCAUGCCCACCAUGGGAGCAGAAGUGUCCACCCAAGUGGAAGUAACAGCACCAGAUUUCAUCUGCACCAAGAAACAAGAUCCAGGCUCUUCCAUUGUCCUCCCUUCGGCCAUGGUGAUGGAUUGCAUCUUCCUUAACCUCCCUCCUGGACCGACAGCUGACAGAGAAAUGGCUUGCUUCCUGAAGCUGACACCACCCUGUGGGAUAAAGAGCAACCGCCUGAUUGCUCUUUGCCCUGUGCCUGUCUGUAAUCCGGGUUCUGAUCUCUAGCCUGUGGCCACUUAGUGUGCCUAUUCUUUGCUUCUCCAAUAAAGCCUGUGUCAUAGUUGAGUCCACAUUUCUUCUUAUGUUUUUCUUUCGCACUUUGUGUUUUUUAUGUCUCCUGUCAACUACAAGUAUUCUUCCGUGUGUUCCUUUUCCUCCCAUUGGAUUUUUGGAGUUAGACUUUUCCUUCACUGAGUUCAGCUUUGCCUGAAAUAUGUCUUUUGGACUGGAUCCAUCAAGAAAUUCUUUCAUUGGUUUCAAACGUGUCUGUCUCUCUACCUUGUAGGACCCUUAAAAGAACUGAAUUCUCUCAGCCUCAGUUUCCUUACCUGAGAAAAUUAGGAGAGAAUGUAUUCAACUCAGUGUACUCAUAGAAAUUAAUAUAUAUACAAAAGUUUCUUAAUUAUUGAUACAUGCCAGGCCAUCUCUUAUAUGCC